GACGUUAAUAUGCCUUCCGGGAAAAACAAACAGGCGUGCUCACAGAUUUACUAUACAACUCUAUGGAUGUGCUCUUUUCGCGGAACAAACUUUGUCAGCCUACUUUUUUUAUAAUAAUGGAGCCGACGUCUUCCAAACGCCAGCGAGGAGCAAACUGGUCCAGCAGGGAAGUACGGGCAUUAUUAGAGUUUAAGAGAGAGGUUUUUGAGAUAACUCUAGUCAGCAGCUGCCCAGAUUUGCCUUCAUAUGCACCUGUUCCUGAUGCUGGCCUAACAAAGGAAGUGUUCUCUAGUGUAGAUGUCUAUGAUACAAAUAGUUUAAGAUGUACUCUCAAUAUAUAUUCUGAGAAAAUAAGUGUCAAGCAGAAU